rnacentral:rRNA from 1 species
CAGUAGCCGCGGUAAUACGAGGGGGGCAAGCGUUGUUCGGAAUUAUUGGGCGUAAAGGGUGCGUAGGCGGUUUGACAAGUCUUGUGUGAAAUCUCUGGGCUCAACCCAGAGUCUGCACGGGAAACUGUCGGGCUAGAGGAUGGGAGAGGUGAGUGGAAUUUCCGGUGUAGCGGUGAAAUGCGUAGAUAUCGGAAGGAACACCUGUGGCGAAAGCGGCUCACUGGACCAUUUCUGACGCUGAUGCACGAAAGCUAGGGGAGCAAACAGGAUUAGAACCCCCGUAGUCCCUGUCCCUUAUACA